AAAAAAAAAAAAAAGGUUUGAUGCGCAAGACAAACUGUUGCAUACUAUCACCACAAAAAUAUCCUGAAUAGAAAUCCAUAAGUGUCAAAUUUUGAUAUUUUCUUUCAUGCCGACUUUUUGAUAUUUCAUAUUUUGCUCAAACAUUAUCUACUAAGGGGCUUCUUUUAAACCUUUUCUACUUUUUAUGUCUGUUGGCCGGAGGAACAAAGAUCUGAGAGGCAAGUUCCAAAUACUCUUGUAAAAACCAACAUCAUUGACGGAGGCAAGCCAGAAACAAGGGCCAAAAUUGGAUCUCAAAACCUGAGACAGGUACUUGAUAAAACUUUUAAAUUUAGAGCCAAUUAAUCUACUUGUUUUUCAUUUUUGGGUCUACUAAUUGGUAGGAUUAUAGCCUUGGAAUAACAGGAUUAAUUCUUUCUAAAACCAAUGCAGAUACCAUGUCACAAAUUAUUGGUUGCUUAAAAUAAACCCUAAUUUAUUUUAAGAAGGCUAUAAUAUAUCAUCAUUGGAAGUGAUCAAUUUGGAGAGAUUUGGCCCACUCAAUGUAGUCAAUCCCUAAAUCAAUUGUCUAUUUUUCUUUAAUUUUUAUCAACCGAUAAAAUGUCAUAUCACUAUUCUGUGGCACAUCAAUUAGGCAAACAAGACAUGCAUACAGCCAGUGAGAUCAAUCUAAUAGG
rnacentral:misc_RNA from 1 species